rnacentral:lncRNA from 10 species
AUCAUGACAGUUUUAUUUGUAAUAUCCCCAAAUGCAAGCAAUCCAAAUGCUGAACAGGUAAACAGACAAGCAGAGUGUAGAAUAUAGAAUAUACAAUGGAAUAAACAAUUAUGAACUAGGUAUACCUGCAACGAUAUAAAUGAAUCUCAGAAUAACUAUUGAGUAGGGGAAGCCAGACUGAAGGAAAGAACGGAUGUUCCUUUUUAUGGCCGCUUAGCAUUCCAUGGUGUAUAGGUACCACAUUUUCUUCAUCCAAUCCACUGCUGAUGGGCAUCUAGGUUGAUUCCAUGUCUUUGCUAUUGUAAACAACGCUUUGAUGAACAUAUGGGUGCACGUGCCUUUUUGAUAAAAUGACUUACUUGCCUUUGGGUAUAUACCUAGUAAUGGAUUGCUGGGUCGAAUAGCAGUUCUAAGUGCUUUCAGAAAUCUCCAAACUGCCUUCCACAGUGGCUGAACUAGUUUUUAUUCCCAGCAAGUGUAUAAGGGUUCCCUCUUCCCCGCAGCCUCACAAGCAUUGGUUGUUUAUUGACUUUUUCAUAAUCGCCAUUCUGACCGGUGUGAGACGUUAUCUCAUUGUGGUCAUGUCCUUCGCAGCAACAUGGAUGGCAGCCAUUGUCCUAAGGAAUUAACCCAAGAAUGGGAAACCAAAUAACGCAUGUUCUCACUUAUAAGUGGGACCUAAACAUUGAAUACACAUAGACAUAAAGAUGGGAGCAGCAGACACUGGGGACGACUAGGGAGGGAGGGAGGCAGGGAGGGAGUGGAACAGAACGUGGGCUGAAAAACUACUACUCACUACCUGGGUGACUGGAUCAUCUGUACCCCAACCUUCAGCACCCUGCAAUAUACUCAUGAAACAAACCUGCACAUGUACCCUUUAAUCUAAAAUAAAAGUUGAAAUUGUUUUUUUAAAAAAGAGCACAUAGUAUAUUAUUCCAUUUACAUAAAAUUUUAGAAAACACAAAUGAAUGUGUUGACAAAUCAGUGGUUGCCUGGAGAAGGGGGAGUGCAGAGAGGUACAUGGGGAAUAAAUUAUAAAGGGACUGGAGGAGAUGUUUGGAGGUGGUGAAUGUGUUCACUAUGUUGAUUGCGGUGAUGAUUUCAUGGACGUACACAUCUGUAGAAACGUUGGUGUGUACAUAUGUUGUAUUCUCAAAUUGUCCACUCUGAGUACGAGCAGUGGGGAUUAAGAGGAAAAUAAUAGUAGAGAACAAAAUCAGAGCUUGGCAUGGCUCUCUGCUGGCACCGUGCAGGGUGUGAUUACAUCAGAUCUGUGCAACUCAGAUCUUGGGGAGGGGUUGGGGGGUGGAAGGUGGAGGGAGGAAGGGAGAGAAAACAGAGGGCGGGAAGAAGGGAAGGAAGUGAAGAAGGGAAUGAGGGACGGAAAGAGAGAGACAGCGAAGAGAGGAGAAAGAGUUUCAGAAUUUGGCAAAAGUCUCAAGGCUCAAGCUGGUUGUCUGAAGCCUUUCAAACCCCCAGUUUUAUCACCACAUAUGAGCUCUUAGCAUAUGAAACUGCAGCUAGGACUAAAACCAGAGGAAGGCACACAGAAUCUUGACUGCUCUUCAGAAAUACAUGGCACUCCGUUAAAAUGAAGAUUUUUGCUGCUCACUCCAGAAAUAUUGAAUCAAAACGUGGAGCAGGAGACAGGCAAGGUGAAGAAACCGAGGCAAUGAACAAAGUAAUAUACCCAAGAUCACAUUGCCAGUGAAUGGGAGAGCUGACGUUUCAAUCUACACAGAACCUGUGCUCUUAGCUAUCUAACCGCUUUACUUGGAAGUGAUGUGAGAUUAAAAAAAGAAGAAAAACAAAAUAUUUUCUUAUGCUUUCAAAAAGUUCAAAAGUAAGUUACAAGAUUUAUGCUGCAUUUUAAUCUAUGAUCUUGAUUACUCAUCAAUUGGAUUAUGUACCCACUUUUUUUUUUUUUUUUUUUUUGAGAUGGAGUCUCACUCUGUCUCCCAGGCUGGAGUGGAGUGCAGUGGUGUGAUCUUGGCUCACUGCAACCUCCACCUCUCUGGUUCAAGCAAUUCUCCCACCUCAGCCUCCCAAGUGGCUGGGGUUACAGGCCCACACCACCACGCCCAGCUAAUUUUUGUAUUUUUAGUAGAGACAGGGUUUUGCCAUGUUGGUUAGGCUGGUUUCAAUCUCCUGACCUCAGGUGAUCCUCCCACCUCAGCCUCCCAAAGUGCUAGGAUUCCAGUCAUAAGCCACUGUGCCCGGCCUGUAUUCACUAUUUAUUUUUAUUUUUUGAAAUUUUUGUGGGUACCCAGUAGGUGUAUACAUAUAUAUAUUUUAACUCUUGAAAAUUUUUGAAUAUUCACUAUUUUAUAACUCCAUACAAGUAUUUUAAACUAAUUUUCUGGUUUUUCUAGUUAUUAAUUUUUUUACCUUAACUCAAAUAAAGAAUAAUUUAAAAGGUGAAGUGUUACAAGUUAAGAGACUCAAGUUCUAGUCUUGGCUUUGCCAUGAAAUUACUGUGUGAAUUUGGUCUAGGCUUUGGUUUCCUCAUGUUUGUUAGCAUGUUCCUCUCUUUAGCUAAAACAGUUCAGUGUAUGUAAAGUGUCAUUCUAUGAACUGAAGAGAUCCUGCCUGUUGAGUUGCAGAUGGCUGGGCAGGUUGCCAAGGGGCUGGUUUCUCCAUGCUGGCUUUUGUGUCUGCAUGCUACAGUUCCCCCCGCACGUCUUGACUACUCACCAGCACAAGAUAUCACACAGACAUGCUUGAGCUGGCCAGGAUCCAGGAUGAUAUUUAGAAAGAAGAGAAUAAAAGCUUAAGGAUGAUCAAGUCCUCUUAAGUAAUAUUAAACAAAAGCAUACUAUUUUCCUUCUAAUUUCCUCUCAAGGCACUUCUCAUGUUAGCAAAGAAAAUGACAAGAUGAGUGUCAGCCUGUCAUAUUUUCUGAUGUAAUGUAUGGGCUAGUAGCUCAUCACAAAAUCAACCAUUUUAUAGGAACUAGAUAAGUUUCAGUGCCAAGCCUUGUUCUCAAGCAGCAGGAUGCCUGCUAAGCAGGGUCCAUAUAAGCUAGAGUUUUGAAAUUAUAGUGAUAUUUUUAUUUUAAGGCAUUCAAGAGCAAAAGCAAAUAGUGGAAGGUUCUCAUUCAUCAAAUGCAAUGACCUUAUUGUUUAGAAAAAAUAAGAUGUGACUAUUACCAAAAAUGCUAUUUUAAAAGUAUAAUCACCUUCUUUUCAGUCUGCCAUGAAAAUUCAUGGAGACCAAAAAUGAUUAAUACAUUAUUUUGUAACUUGCUACCCAAAACAGGGUGGUUUGUUUUCCAAAUUUUGUAUUCUUUGCAUAUUUAAAGUUACUUACUGAGAGUUUUCCAUGUGUAAGGAAUUGAAGGAACAAACUCACAAUCUCUGUUACAAGAUUUAAAAGAAAUUUUUGGAGGCACAUGAACAUCUGCAAUUUCAUUUGUAAAGUAUCCAAGAAUCUGUCGCCUUAGUAACAAUCAAAUGCAUUAAAUGCUAAACGCUGAUUAAAUAGAGUUGAAAAUGGAUUUGUUAGUUAUCCCUCUAAGAAUUUUAACUCCAGCCGCUAGCCCUCUCCUCCCCUUUGCAAUGCAACUAUGCCUUCAAAUAGUGUUCUUUAAAAGGAGGCUUUACGGCUUUGGAGGAAUAAGCUGAUUUCACAGCCAGUUUUGCCACUGCUGUGGAAAACAGAGUACACAUGCAAGACUGCUGAAGUCAUACAAACUGCAAGGAUUAUGGCUGUGGGGGCCUCCACAACUCCUGUCAAACUGCAAUUGGAAACAGCUUCUCCAAAGGACAACAUGAGAAAUCAGGAAUUCUUGUCCAUGGCUCCCCAACCUGCUGGGUUUCUAAUCAGGCCUGGCAUGACCCAUUAGAGAUCAGACAUAGGAAAAUCACAAUGAAACUAGGGUAUCUUCUGUUUUCCAAGCUUCACUCCCCCAGAUCCUUUUCAAGCCUGUAAUUAUUGUCUCUCACCAGUUAAUAAGGGAACCGUUUCUCCAUGGGGACAGGAGCUUCUGGAAGGCUGGACCCAAUCAUUACAGGCUCAGUCCAGGGCCUUUCCUUCACACCAACUACUGCAGCCACUCCCAGAGCCCCUGGAACUCCGGCCCAAGGCUCUCUGACUGACUCCUUCCCAGAUCUUCUCGGCUUAGCAGCUGAAGACUGACACUGCCCGAUCACCUCGGAAGCCCCCUAGACCAUCACGGACGCCGAGCUGCCAGUAACUCUCACAGUGGAAGGUAAGCCCAUCCCCUUCUUAAUCAAUACGGAGGCUACCCACUCCACAUUACCUUCUUUACAAAGGCCUGUUUCCCUUGCCUCCAUAACUGUUGUGGGUAUUGACGGCCAGGCUUCUAAAUCUCUUAAAACUCCCCAACUCUGGUGCCAACUUAGACAAUACUCUUUUAAGCACUCCUUUUUAGUUAUCCCCACCUGCCCAGUUCCCUUAUUAGGCCGAGACACUUUAACUAAAUUAUCUGCUUCCCUGACUAUUCCUGGGCUACAGCCACACCUCAUUACUGCCCUUCUUCCCAAUCCAAAGCCUCCUUUGCGUCCUCCUCUUGUAUCCCCCUACCUUAACCCACAAGUAUAAGAUACCUCUACUCCCUCCUUGGUGACCGAUCAUGCACCCCUUACCAUCUCAUUGAAACCUAAUCACCCUUACCCCGCUCAACGCCAAUAUCCCAUCCCACAGCAUGCUUUGAAAAGACUAAAGCCUGUUAUCACUCUCCUGCUACAGCAUGGCCUUUUAAAGCCUAUAAACUCUCCUUACAAUUCCCCCAUUUCACUUGUCCUAAAACCAGACAAGCCUUACAAGUUAGUUCAGGAUCUAUGCCUUAUCAACCACAUUGUUUUGCCUAUCCACCCCAUGGUGUCAAACCCAUAUACUCUCCUAUCCUCAAUACCUCACUCCAUAAUCCAUUAUUGUGUUCUGGAUCUCAAACAUGCUUUCUUUACUAUUCCUUUGCACCCUUCAUCCCAGCCUCUUUUCACUUUCACUUGGACUGACCCUGACACCCAUCAGGCUCAGCAAAUUACCUGGGCUGUACUGCCCCAAAGCUUCACAGACAGCCCCCA